GACGAACGCUGGCGGCGUGCUUAACACAUGCAAGUCGAGCGGUAAGGCCCUUUCGGGGGUACACGAGCGGCGAACGGGUGAGUAACACGUGGGUGACCUGCCUUUAGCUCUGGGAUAAGCCUGGGAAACCGGGUCUAAUACCGGAUAUGACUCCGCGGCGCAUGUUGUGGGGUGGAAAGCCUUGUGCGGCUGGAGAUGGGCCCGCGGCCUAUCAGCUUGUUGGUGGGGUGAUGGCCUACCAAGGCGACGACGGUAGCCGGCCUGAGAGGGCGACCGGCCACACUGGGACUGAGACACGGCCCAGACUCCUACGGGAGGCAGCAGUGGGGAAGUCUUGGGCGAAUGGGCGAAAGCCUGACCCAGCGACGCCGCGUGAGGGAUGAAGGCCUUCGGUCGU
rnacentral:rRNA from 1 species